rnacentral:sRNA from 1 species
GCCAGGUGUGGUGGUGCACAUCUGUAAUCCCAGUGGCUCAGGAGGCUGAGGCAGGAGGAUCACAAGUCCAAAGCCAGCCUCAG